rnacentral:lncRNA from 1 species
CUGGGACCCGAGAGUUCUUUGGAAGGAGAGCGCAAGCGAGGGAGCGGGCGAGCUCCGAGGGGGUGUGGGUGUAGGGAAAGAGCAGGCAGCGGCGGCAGCGGCAGCGGUGGGGAAAAGCGGAUUCCGCCCCGAGCCACACCGAGGAGAGCUUGCGGUCGCGACUUGCCGCCCUAAGCACUCUCCCAAGUCCAGCCCGCUCGGCGAGGACUUCAGUCUCCUGGGCGAACCUUGUCAAGCAAGCUGGGAUCUAUGAGUGGAAAGGUGACCAAGCCCAAAGAGGAGAAAGAUGCUUCUAAGGAUUCAAGAGACCUAUUUCAUCAACAUAAAACCCGUAGAAGCCACACAUGCUGGGAAUCGGUCCUCCAUAUCAAAGCUGAUCAGGAUGGAUUGACGAAUUUUGUAGCUUG